GAUGAACGCUAGCGGCAGGCCUAAUACAUGCAAGUCGAACGAGAUUAAGAGGCUUGCUUCUUAUGAAAGUGGCGCACGGGUGCGUAACGCGUAUGCAACCUACCUUAAUCAGGGGGAUAGCCCGAAGAAAUUCGGAUUAAGACCGCAUAAAAACACAGGAUAGCAUUAUCCAAUGUUCAAAUAUUUAUAGGAUUAAGAUGGGCAUGCGUGUCAUUAGCUAGUUGGCGGGGUAACGGCCACCAAGGCGACGAUGACUAGGGGAUCUGAGAGGAUGACCCCCCACACUGGUACUGAGACACGGACCAGACUCCUACGGGAGGCAGCAGUAAGGAAUAUUGGUCAAUGGAGGGAACUCUGAACCAGCCAUGCCGCGUGCAGGAAGACAGCCCUCUGGGUCGUAAACUGCUUUUAUUCGGGAAUAAACCUUUCUACGUGUAGGAAGCUGAAUGUACCGAAGGAAUAAGGAUCGGCUAACUCCGUG
rnacentral:rRNA from 1 species